CCCCUCAAUUUUGCUGCUGUAGACUACAAAUUUCCCCAAUGUGGGACAAAUAAAGGUUAUCUUAUCUUAAGUCACCUUGUCGGGUGUGGCUGACCACGUCUCUUACUGCAGCAAAAUCCCCCCCCCCCACAACAAGUAGCCAGUUGAUUUAAAUGGGUAUUUUUCUAGCCCACUUUGUAAAAUUAAAAGACAAUUUUAAUCAGUCCAAGCGUGCUUGUUUUUAAGACGCAUCCAUUACAGCACCGUAUAGAUCACUGGUGGGAAAAGUACGGCCGUUUAUAAUAAAUUAGCUCCGCGGUUGUUUUCGGCAAUUCCACUGACUGCGCACCACGCACUCAAAUGACAACAUGAGUACUCCCGUAUGUGUGAAAUGCAGUUUUUAUUCCUCUUGGAAUGACAAAUUGUGUUUUCUUGAGGUGAUGCAAGUACACAGUAAAUCGCUUCCGCGUCAGCAAUACAAAACAAAGCAAAUAUUCUUUAGAUAAGCUGUCAUGGAAAACAAUUGUGCAGCAUUUGACCUUCUUUUCAUGGAAGUUCGAGUGUGAUGGGCACACUUGAAACUUUCGCAGAAGGCAAAAUAUUUCUGCAAAAAAA